GUGCUUGCUUCGGCAGCACAUCUACUAAAACCGCAAUGAUACAGAGAAGAUUAACAUGGUCCCUGUACAAGGAUGACAUGCAAAUUCAUAAAGUGUUUCAUAUUGAA
rnacentral:snRNA from 1 species